rnacentral:tRNA from 1 species
UCCCUGGUGGUUUAAUAGUUAGGGCUUGGUACUUUGACAACUGUGGCCCAGGUUCAAUCCCUGGUCUGGGAG